rnacentral:misc_RNA from 1 species
GAUGAAGAACGCAGCGAAAUGCGAUAAGUAAUGUGAAUUGCAGAAUUCAGUGAAUCAUCGAAUCUUUGAACGCACAUUGCGCCCCCUGGUAUUCCGGGGGGCAUGCCUGUUCGAGCGUCAUUUCACCACUCAAGCCUCGCUUGGUAUUGGGCAACGCGGUCCGCCGCGUGCCUCAAAUCGACCGGCUGGGUCUUCUGUCCCCUAAGCGUUGUGGAAACUAUUCGCUAAAGGGUGUUCGGGAGGCUACGCCGUAAAACAACCCCAUUUAUAAGGUUGACCUCGGAUCAGGUAGGGAUACCCGCUGAACUUAAGCAUAUCAAUAAGCGGAGGA